CAUGCCGUAAACGAUGAAUGCUAAGUGUUAGGGGGUUUCCGCCCCUUAGUGCUGCAGCUAACGCAUUAAGCACUCCGCCUGGGGAGUACGACCGCAAGGUUGAAACUCAAAGGAAUUGACGGGGGCCCGCACAAGCGGGGGAGCAUGUGGUUUAAUUCGAAGCAACGCGAAGAACCUUACCAGGUCUUGACAUCCCGAUGACCCCUCUAGAGAUAGAGUUUUCCCUUCGGGGACAUUGGUGACAGGUGG
rnacentral:rRNA from 1 species